rnacentral:rRNA from 1 species
UACGGAGGGGGCUAGCGUUGUUCGGAAUUACUGGGCGUAAAGGGCGCGUAGGCGGUCACGACAAGUCAGUUGUGAAAUCUCCGGGCUUAACUCGGAACGGUCAACUGAUACUGUCGGACUAGAGUGCAGAAGGGGCAACUGGAAUUCUCGGUGUAGCGGUGAAAUGCGUAGAUAUCGAGAGGAACACCUGCGGCGAAGGCGGGUUGCUGGGCUGACACUGACGCUGAGGCGCGAAAGCUAGGGGAGCGAACGGG